GGUGGGGUGGCAGAGCGGUUGAAUGCGCCGGUCUUGAAAACCGGUAGGCCCUCCGGGGUCUCGCGGGUUCGAAUCCCGCCCCCACCG
rnacentral:tRNA from 2 species